UGGGGAAUAUUGGGCAAUGGGCGCAAGCCUGACCCAGCAACGCCGCGUGAGGGAAGAAGGCUUUCGGGUUGUAAACCUCUGUCCUUGGUGACGAAAAAAAUGACGGUAGCCAAGGAGGAAGCCCCGGCUAACUACGUGCCAGCAGCCGCGGUAAUAAGUAGGGGGCGCGCGUUGUCCGGAAUUACUGGGCGUAAAGGGUGCGUAGGUGGCCUUGUAAGUUGGAUGUGAAAUCCCCUGGCUUAACGUGGGUGGUGCAUCUA
rnacentral:rRNA from 1 species